rnacentral:lncRNA from 1 species
GAUCUCUUUACCCACUGCAAACCCAUGAGAAAAUCUGCCCACUACAGUCUCUUUUUACUUUGACCCUUGUGUGUUAAUUUAAUUACUUUUAAUUAAAGUAUUUUAAUUUUCAAAGGGCUUUUAGGAGAGCAGUACUACCAGUGACCUAUGGGAACAAGAAGACUAUCUGGAGUGGGAAGCGUGUGAAAUACCCUGACAGCU